rnacentral:rRNA from 1 species
UACGUAGGGACCGAGCGUUGUCCGGAAUCAUUGGGCGUAAAGAGCGUGUAGGCGGCUUGCUAAGUCUUGCGUGAAAUCUCGGGGCUCAACCCCGAGCGGUCGUGGGAAACUGGCAGGCUAGAGUGCGGGAGAGGUGAGUGGAAUUCCGAGUGUAGAGGUGAAAUUCGUAGAUAUUCGGAAGAACACCAGUGGCGAAGGCGGCUCACUGGACCGGUAUUGACGCUGAGGUGCGAAAGCGUGGGGAGCAAACAGG